rnacentral:rRNA from 1 species
AUUGAACGCUGGCGGCAGGCCUAACACAUGCAAGUCGAACGGUAACAGGAAACAGCUUGCUGUUUCGCUGACGAGUGGCGGACGGGUGAGUAAUGUCAGGGAAACUGCCUGAUGGAGGGGGAUAACUACUGGAAACGGUAGCUAAUACCGCAUAACGUCGCAAGACCAAAGAGGGGGACCUUCGGGCCUCUUGCCAUCGGGUGGGCCCAGAUGGGAUUAGCUAGUAGGUGGGGUAACGGCUCACCUAGGCGACGAUCCCUAGCUGGUGUGAGAGGAUGAGCAGCCACACUGGAACUGAGACACGGUCCAGACUCCUACGGGAGGCAGCAGUGGGGAAUAUUGCACAAUGGGCGCAAGCCUGAUGCAGACAUGCCGCGUGUAUGAAGAAGGCCUUCGGGUUGUAAAGUACUUUCAGCGGGGAGGAAGGGAGUAAAGUUAAUACCUUUGCUCAUUGACGUUACCCGCAGAAGAAGCACCGGCUAACUACGUG